AGUGAACGCUGGCGGUAGGCCUAACACAUGCAAGUCGAACGGCAGCACAGUAAGAGCUUGCUCUUACGGGUGGCGAGUGGCGGACGGGUGAGGAAUACAUCGGAAUCUACUUUUUCGUGGGGGAUAACGUAGGGAAACUUACGCUAAUACCGCAUACGACCUACUGGUGAAAGCAGGGGAUCUUCGGACCUUGCGCGAUUGAAUGAGCCGAUGUCGGAUUAGCUAGUUGGCGGGGUAAAGGCCCACCAAGGCGACGAUCCGUAGCUGGUCUGAGAGGAUGAUCAGCCACACUGGAACUGAGACACGGUCCAGACUCCUACGGGAGGCAGCAGUGGGGAAUAUUGGACAAAGGGCGCAAGCCUGAUCCAGCCAUACCGCGUGGGUGAAGAAGGCCUUCGGGUUGUAAAGCCCUUUUGUUGGGAAAGAAAAGCAGCAGGUUAAUACCCCGCUGUUCUGACGGUACCCAAAGAAUAAGCACCGGCUAACUUCGUG
rnacentral:rRNA from 1 species